AUUGAACGCUGGCGGCAUGCCUUACACAUGCAAGUCGAACGGUAACAGGUCUUCGGAUGCUGACGAGUGGCGAACGGGUGAGUAAUACAUCGGAACGUGCCUAGGAGUGGGGGAUAACUACUCGAAAGAGUGGCUAAUACCGAAUGAGAUCUACGGAUGAAAGCAGGGGAUCGCAAGACCUUGUGCUACUAGAGCGGCAGAUGGCAGAUCAGGUAGUUGGUGGGAUAAAAGCUUACCAAGCCGACGAUCUGUAGCUGGUCUGAGAGGACGAUCAGCCACACUGGGACUGUGACACGGCCCAGACUCCUACGGGAGGCAGCAGUGGGGAAUUUUGGACAAUGGGCGAAGGCCUGAUCCAGCAAUGCCGCGUGCAGGAUGAAGGCCUUCGGGUUGUAAACUGCUUUUGUACGGAACGAAAAGCCCCGGUUGGGAUGACGGUACCCAAAGAAUAAGCACCGGCUAACUUCGUGCCAGCCGCCGCGGUAA
rnacentral:rRNA from 1 species